CCUACGGGAGGCAGCAGUGAGGAAUAUUGGUCAAUGGGGGAAACCCUGAUGCAGCGACGCCGCGUGGGUGAAGAAGCGCCUCGGCGCGUAAAGCCCUGUCAGCAGGGAAGAAAAUGACGGUACCUGAAGAAGAAGCCCCGGCUAACUACGUGCCAGCAGCCGCGGUAAUACGUAGGGGGCAAGCGUUAUCCGGAUUUACUGGGUGUAAAGGGGGCGCAGACGGCGAUGCAAGCCAGGAGUGAAAGCCCGGGGCCCAACCCCGGGACUGCUCUUGGAACUGCGUGGCUAGAGUGCAGGAGGGGCAGGCGGAAUUCCUGGUGUAGCGGUGAAAUGCGUAGAUAUCAGGAGGAACACCGGUGGCGAAGGCGGCCUGCUGGACUGCAACUGACGUUGAGGCCCGAAAGCGUGGGGAGCAAACAGGAUUAGAUACCCGAGUAGUC
rnacentral:rRNA from 1 species